CAAGAGCGUGCUCCCAUUGGCCUACAAUUUCUCACAUCCCAAAUAUUCGAAUUGAUGGGCAGAAGAUUCAAUGGAAGAACCAGUAUCUCUUGCACCACAAGGAGCCUUUCACUGUUACUGCUAGUCCUAUCUCCAAUUUAAGGACUAUGACAGUUGAGGAUCUUGAAUCUCUACCAGACGACUGGCUGCUGAAUCUCACUUGUCUUCAAGAAUUACAUAUCAUGCGUU
rnacentral:misc_RNA from 1 species